CACAUGCCUUUUGCAUGUUUUUAAAAUCUAACAGCUUGUUGUUUUCCCUUCUAGGGGACAAGAUUCUCUGGAUUACGUGUGGAAACACAGAACAUGUUCUUAAGUCUUGUACAAGUUUUCUCAUGUACUGACAUUUUGAUCAGCACCGGCACAUCAGUGACACGCUGUUGAGAAACAUGUUCUACUAAGGAGACGUGACAUUCUACGUGGAAGUGACAGUGACGUGACAGCAUCUGAUAGCUCUUUUCUGCAGUGUGGUGGCAAUGUUCUUCUGCAAUAACCCAUUUGCAGAGGAAUGAGCCUCCCCUAGGGACAGGAUUGACCAGCAGUGACAAACCAAGCCGUGAGUGGCCCUUGCUGCUUGUACCCCGUGAGAGAGGCGAUGUGUGUGCAGGGAGAGGUGCUGAGCAACUCUGGAAGCUCUUUUGAGGUGUGGAAUACCUGUAAAGCUCUGAAUGUGCCAGACCUGAAGGGAUAUAAACCAGGUGAGCUAUACUGUAUUCAGUAAAUUCUAGUAAUAAGUUGAAGGUGAAACCCUGAAAGGAGCAGAUGGAUGUAGCCUGGUUGACCACUGGACUCAGCGCUGCAGAGAAGCCGGGCCACAGAAAUCCCGUCUCGCUUAAUCAAUGGGAAAUCGGCAUCUGUGCUGCUGAUUUUGUUUGUUUGUGAUUCUUUGUAAAAUGUAAUCUUUACCAUUCAUUCAAUGUGUUUUCUUUUCUUGUGGCCACCACACAGUGUUUGUUUGAUCACGCUGAGAACCCAUAUCUUAUCUGGUCUGCUAACUUUUUCCUUUUGAAAGAGAUAAUGGAGGAAGGGGGAUCAGAGC